GACGAACGCUGGCGGCGUGCUUAACACAUGCAAGUCGAACGGAAAGGCCCUGCUUUUGUGGGGUGCUCGAGUGGCGAACGGGUGAGUAACACGUGAGUAACCUGCCCUCGACUUUGGGAUAACUUCAGGAAACUGGGGCUAAUACCGGAUAGGAGCUCCUGCUGCAUGGUGGGGGUUGGAACGUUUCGGCGGUUGGGGAUGGACGCGCGGCUUAUCAGCUUGUUGGUGGGGGAGUGGCUUACCAAGGCUUUGACGGGUAGCCGGCCUGAGAGGGUGACCGGCCACAAUGGGACUGAGAUACGGCCCAGACGCCUACGGGAGGCAGCAGUGGGGAAUAUUGCACAAUGGGCGGAAGCCUGAUGCAGCAACGCCGCGUGCGGGAUGACGGCCUUCGGGUUGUAAACCGCUUUCGCCUGUGACGAAGCGUGAGUGACGGUAAUGGGUAAAGAAGCACCGGCUAACUACGUG
rnacentral:rRNA from 1 species